AGGUAAGCUACUAAGAGCAAGUGGUGGAUGCCUUGGCUAGUAGAGGCGAUGAAAGACGUGCCAGGCUGCGAUAAGUCUCGGGGAGCCGUCAAGGGGCUUUGAUCCGGGAAUUUCUGAAUGGGGCGACCCAACUAAUAGAGAUAUUAGUUACCAUAAUGGAGCGAACGAGGGGAAUUGAAACAUCUUAGUACCCUCAGGAAAAGAAAUCAAACGAGAUUACGCUAGUAGCGGCGAGCGAACGCGUAAGAGGGCAAACCACUAGUUUACUAGUGGGGUUGUAGGACUGCAACAUAGACUAAAUUUAGCUAAUAGAAUGAUCUGGAAAGGUCAAGCAUAGAGGGUGAUACUCCCGUAUAUGAAAGCUUUAUUUUACUUAGCAGUAUCCUGAGUAGGGCGGAACACGUGAUAUUCUGUCUGAAUCUGGGUAGACCACUAUCCAACCCUAAAUACUACUACUAGACCGAUAGUGCACAAGUACCGUGAGGGAAAGGUGAAAAGAACUGAGGUGAUCAGAGUGAAAUAGAACCUGAAACCAUUUGCUUACAAUCAUUCAGAGCACGAUUCUUUAUGACGUGUGAUGGACUGCCUUUUGCAUAAUGAGCCUGCGAGUUGUGGUGUCUGGCGAGGUUAAGGAAACCCGGAGCCGUAGCGAAAGCAAGUCUUAAUAGGGCGUUUAGUCAGAUGCUGCAGACCCGAAACGAUGUGAUCUAUCCAUGAGCAGGUUGAAACUGGUGUAAGAACCAGUGGAGGACCGAACCCGCUAGCGUUGAAAAGCUAUGGGAUGACUUGUGGAUAGGGGUGAAAGGCCAAUCAAACAUCGUGAUAGCUGGUUCUCUCCGAAAUAUAUUUAGGUAUAGCGUCAUGUAGUAGCUAUAAGGGGUAGAGCACUGAAUGGGCUAGGGCAUACACCAAUGUACCAAACCCUAUCAAACUCCGAAUACUUAUAGUGUAAUCAUGGCAGUCAGGCGGCGAGUGAUAAAAUCCGUCGUCGAGAGGGGAACAACCCAGACUAACAGCUAAGGUCCCUAAAUCUCAUUUAAGUGGAAAACGAUGUGAAGUUACUGAAACAACCAGGAGGUUGGCUUAGAAGCAGCCAUCCUUUAAAGAAAGCGUAAUAGCUCACUGGUCUAGUGAUUUUGCGCGGAAAAUAUAACGGGGCUAAAAUGAGUACCGAAGCUUUAGAUAGUGUCUAUGAUUAUUUAUACUAGCUUGUCUUUCGAGCGUCUUUAAAUGAGCUUGAAAUUUUCUCAAUCGAUAGCCUUUAUGGCUUAUCUCGAUCGAAAAUUUCAUUGCAACAUUUAAAUCCAUCUCGAAAUACUUCGCUUAAUCCGUUUUUUAGAUUUGAUUCUUGGAUUAAAUUUUUAUUCAAUUGCUCUAAUCAAAAGAUAGAUUAAACGUAAAAUAUGACAAGCUUAAAAAGAGUAUGAAUACUCAUAGACACUGUGGUAGGAGAGCGUUGCAUUCAGCAUUGAAGGUGUACCGGUAAGGAGCGCUGGAGCGGAUGCAAGUGAGCAUGCAGGCAUGAGUAGCGAUAAUUAAUGUGAGAAUCAUUAACGCCGUAAACCCAAGGUUUCCUACGCGAUGCUCGUCAUCGUAGGGUUAGCCGGGUCCUAAGCAAAGUCCGAAAGGGGUAUGCGAUGGAAAAUUGGUUAAUAUUCCAAUGCCAACUAUGAUGUGCGAUGGAAGGACGCUUAAGGUUAGAGGAGCCAGCGGAUGGAAGUGCUGGUCGAAAGGUGUAGGUUGAAAUUCAGGCAAAUCCGAAUUUCUUUAUCCGAGACCCCACAGGCAUUUGAAGUUCUUCGGAAUGGAUAGUGAAUCCUUGAUACCAUCGAGCCAAGAAAAGUUUCUAAGUUUAGUUAUAGUUGCCCGUACCGUAAACCGACACAGGUGGGUGGGAUGAGUAUUCUAAGGCGCGUGGAAGAACUCUCUUCAAGGAACUCUGCAAAAUAGCACCGUAUCUUCGGUAUAAGGUGUGCCUAACUUUGUGAAGGAUUUACUCCGUAAGCAUUGAAGGUUACAACAAAGAGUCCCUCCCGACUGUUUACCAAAAACACAGCACUCUGCUAACACGUAAGUGGAUGUAUAGGGUGUGACGCCUGCCCGGUGCUCGAAGGUUAAUUGAUGACGUUAGCUCUGCGAAGCGUUUGAUCGAAGCCCGAGUAAACGGCGGCCGUAACUAUAACGGUCCUAAGGUAGCGAAAUUCCUUGUCGGUUAAAUACCGACCUGCAUGAAUGGCGUAACGAGAUGGGAGCUGUCUCGAAGAGGGAUCCAGUGAAAUUGUAGUGGAGGUGAAAAUUCCUCCUACCCGCGGCAAGACGGAAAGACCCCGUGGACCUUUACUACAGCUUGACACUGCUAUUGGGAUAAAGAUGUGCAGGAUAGGUGGGAGGCUUUGAGCUAUAGACGCCAGUUUAUAGUGAGCCAUUGUUGAGAUACCACUCUUUUUUAUUCUGAUAGCUAACUAGCAUGAGUUAUCCUCAUGUAGGACAAUGUCUGGUGGGUAGUUUGACUGGGGCGGUCGCCUCCCAAAAUGUAACGGAGGCUUACAAAGGUUGGCUCAGAACGGUUGGAAAUCGUUCGCAGAGUAUAAAGGCAAAAGCCAGCUUAACUGCAAGACAUACACGUCGAGCAGAGACGAAAGUCGGUCUUAGUGAUCCGGUGGUUCUGUGUGGAAGGGCCAUCGCUCAAAGGAUAAAAGGUACCCCGGGGAUAACAGGCUGAUCUCCCCCAAGAGCUCACAUCGACGGGGAGGUUUGGCACCUCGAUGUCGGCUCAUCGCAUCCUGGGGCUGGAGCAGGUCCCAAGGGUAUGGCUGUUCGCCAUUUAAAGCGGUACGCGAGCUGGGUUCAGAACGUCGUGAGACAGUUCGGUCCCUAUCUGCCGUGGGCGUAAGAAGAUUGAGGAGAGUUGACCCUAGUACGAGAGGACCGGGUCGAACCAACCACUGGUGUACGAGUUGUCCUGCCAAGGGCACCGCUCGGUAGCUAAGUUGGGAUGUGAUAAGAGCUGAAAGCAUCUAAGCUCGAAGCCAACUCCAAGAUGAAUCUUCUUUUAAGAGCUCAAUUAGACUAAUUGUUUGAUAGGCUGGGUGUGUAAUGGAUGAAAGUCCUUUAGCUGACCAGUACUAAUAGCUCGUCUGCUUAUCUUU
rfam:Campylobacter curvus 525.92, complete genome.